AUCUGGUGAAAAUAGUUCAUUAGUUCACUUUUGUGGCGCAUUUGUAUCAUUAAAACAUCCUUCAGAUUUGGCUGCCAGCAGCUCCUGUUCGCUAUAAUGAAAACAUCCACUGAGAUCACUCUGAACAAAAGACAUGAAUCUGAAGUAUGUGGGAGUGAGAGGGUGGGGAUUUAUAUCAGAGCUAUAAAAUAUUUACCAACAGCAGCUCAGCAACAACCUCAUCCAUUCACCGCCUCUAAAAGUCAAAGAUGGCAGCCAGAAAUUCUCAGCCUGUGAAACCCUUACAGAUGGUCCAGAAUGCAGCAGUACGUCUGGUCUCUGAUCAGCCUCAAAGGUCACAUGACCUCCACUGGCUAAACAUGGCCGUCUGGAUCUAACCCAGGUCUCUGCUGCUGCCUAAAGAGAGACCUCUGGGUCUGAACUCAGUCCUUCAGGCUUCUGCUCCUUCUCAGACUCUGUGUUCCUCCAAGGAUCAUCAUCUCCAUCCCUGACUACAAGCUGUUCUCAGUCCAGACUGUUCUGGUCUGUGGUUCUCUGAUGGUGGAACCAGUUCCCAGAUCAGAGCAGGAGCGUCUCUCUCUGUCUUCAACAACCUGUGAAGACUGAUCUCCUCUGAGAGCUCGUCCUCUCCUCACACCUCUAACACCCUGACAUUCAGUGUUUCUCCUCCAUGACCAGGCUCCGUCCUACAUCAUCAACCUGCUACACCACCACUCUCCAACCUCCUGUCUCCACCAGUCAGAAUCAUAUUCUGGUCAUUGUGUGACAGGGCUUUUCUCAAUUGCUCUCCCACCCUCUGGAUAGCACCAGUCUUGUGUUCAAGAGAUGAAUCAAAACCGUUUUGUAAUUAUUAUUAUUAUUAUUACCAGUAGUAGUAGUAUUGUCAUUACAAUCAGCAGCACCUACCACAGCAAUGCACCGGGACAGCCAUGUUUUCAGGACAGCUGCCAACUGUCUAGAUGAGUAUAUAGAGGAUGUGAUGUCCUACAUCAGCUUCUGUGAGCACUGCUGCCGCAUACCAACAUGCACCAGGUUACAACAAUGAUAAACCCUGUUUCAAACCUAAGCUCAGUUGGCUAAAGCUGGAAAAGCAGGAGGGAAUAGGGACAGGAGUAUGGAGGUGACAUACAGGUUUAGCAAGGUGAUGAAAAACACUAAAAGCCUGUACACUCAGAAACUUCCAACAGCAAUCAUCAUCUUAUGACUUUGCUUUUGUCUGGGGAGUGCCUAAACAGGUCAACCUCUGAAUGCUUUAAACAUGACCCUCCAUUUCAUCCUCCAAUAUCUGGACUGGAAUCUAUACCAGUAUCCUCUUUAUGGGCUUAAUUUCCUCCUUCAGUGCCAACUCUGUGGCACUGCAUGGGCACCAUCAUCACCUGUCAACAGACUGAGUCCUUUCUGUGUGAAGUCUACAUGUUCUCCUCGUGCCUGUAUUGGUUUCCCUCCAUGACAUGCCAGUCAACCCUUGUGUUGGCUGCAUUCAGACAGACUUCCUGCUGUGUGAAAAAAUAGUCUUCAUUCCUUUGAAUUGGACCAUGUAUUGAUGCAGUGGAGGAACCAUUGUAAACAGUAAAACAUACAAUCAUCAUUCAGCGAUGUCUGAACAUACAUAUUCUUUUCCUGUCCUGACACUUUGUAAUAUCUGUUUCAAAGGUUCUGAAUAAAGUUUGUUUCCAGUU